rnacentral:rRNA from 1 species
UACAGAGGGGGCAAGCGUUGUUCGGAAUUACUGGGCGUAAAGGGCGCGUAGGCGGCGCUCCAAGUUAGGCGUGAAAGCCCCGGGCUCAACCUGGGAAUUGCGCUUAAGACUGGAGUGCUCGAGUGCGGAAGAGGUGAGUGGAAUUCCCAGUGUAGAGGUGAAAUUCGUAGAUAUUGGGAAGAACGCCAGUGGCGAAGGCGGCUCACUGGUCCGCAACUGACGCUGAGGCGCGAAAGCGUGGGGAGCAAACAGG